rnacentral:misc_RNA from 1 species
UUGACUUAUUUUAUAAGUUACUCAGAGAUGCCAACUGAAAUCAAGAGUUGAGACGCCUCCGGCGGGCUACCAACCCCCGAGGGGGAGGCCGCGGCACCCGAGUGGGAGCACCCGCCGAAGCAAUGGUAACGGUGAUGUUUACAAUGGUUUGGGAGUUUUGCAACUCUGUAAUGAUCCCUCCGCUGGUUCACCAACGGAAA